rnacentral:rRNA from 1 species
CCUACGGGAGGCAGCAGUGGGGAAUAUUGCGCAAUGGGCGAAAGCCUGACGCAGCGACGCAGCGUGAGGGAUGAAGGCCUUCGGGUUGUAAACCUCUUUCAGCGGGGACGAAGCGAAAGUGACGGUACCCGCAGAAGAAGCACCGGCUAACUACGUGCCAGCAGCCGCGGUAAUACGUAGGGUGCAAGCAUUGUCCGGAUUUAUUGGGCGUAAAGAGCUCGUAGGCGGCUUGUCACGUCGGGUGUGAAAACUUGGGGCUCAACCCCAAGCCUGCACUCGAUACGGGCUAGCUAGAGUGUUGCAGGGGAGACUGGAAUUCCUGGUGUAGCGGUGAAAUGCGCAGAUAUCAGGAGGAACACCGGUGGCGAGGGCGGGUCUCUGGGCAACUACUGACGCUGAGGAGCGAAAGCGUGGGGAGCGAACAGGAUUAGAUACCCUGGUAGUCCACGACCGUAACGGUAGGGCGCGUAGGUGUGGGUACCGUACCUACGUCUCUGUGCGCNGCUACGACAUAGCGCCCGCCGCGGGAGGUACGGCCGCGACGACGUAAACGUACUAAUAGAAGUUAGUUACGGUCGUUGAGACGUUGCCGACGGACGACGACGAGGGAGGAGG